GGAACCAUCGGUACGAUCCUGUUGCCCCUUUUCCCUUCAGAGUUGUCUCCCGAAGGCCCCGAAUUCGAGAGAGCUGUUAUGAUUAUUGAAGUUUGACUAUGGUUUCUGAAAAGAUCCGUCCACUUUGGAGGCACUAUUUCCAGAUUACACAGUGCUAUAUUUUUGUUGUGGAUAGCAAUGAUAGGGACCGAGUUGUUGAGGCAAGAGAUGAGUUGCAAAGGAUGUUGAAUGAGGAUUGAAGUUAAGGAAUACAUUCUCCGUUCCUGUCGCCAUCUCCAUCCCCAUGGAGGCAGGGAAAUUUUGCCCGUUUGGUGUCAGGUAUCUAGACGUAUGUGGGUGUUGUUAUUAACUAAUGGUCGAAUUUGAAUAAAACGAUUGGAAUCAGUAUAAAAGUUGAGGCCCACUCAGAUUUAAAAAUAAAAAUCAAAUAACCCUUUCAAAAGAGAGAGAGUUUGGUAUGUACUUGUGGUGCCAUGGGGUGUGCAAUUCAUCAUAAGCAAUGGUCCCAACAUGGUUUACUUCUCUCCCUUUUUCUUCAACUUCUAUAACAAGUAUUUUUUCCACUUA